rnacentral:lncRNA from 1 species
GAAUUGAUGUGAGUGCGAUUUCUGUUCUAUUGGGACGUUAGUUCCAAGUUUCUUUCUGACACGAUGUUUAUCUGUAAAUCUAAUGCAAUACUGAUUUGAAAUCUGAAUAUGUGUGUUUAGUCUUGUUUCUGUCUCACAUUGAGCUCGAGUAGCUCACCCCCUCUUAGUGUUUCCAUUUCAGGUAUCUUCUCAGAAUUUUAACGCUGGACUUGU